GACGAACGCUGGCGGCGUGCUUAACACAUGCAAGUCGAACGGAAAGGCCCUGCGUUUGUGGGGUGCUCGAGUGGCGAACGGGUGAGUAACACGUGAGUAACCUGCCCUUGACUUUGGGAGAACUUCAGGAAACUGGGGCUAAUACCGGAUAGGAGCUCCUGCUGCAUGGGGGGGGUUGGAAAGUUUCGGCGGUGGGGGAUGGACUCGCGGCUUAUCAGCUUGUUGGUGGGGUAGUGGCUUACCAAGGCUUUGACGGGUAGCCGGCCUGAGAGGGUGACCGGCCACAUUGGGACUGAGAUACGGCCCAGACUCCUACGGGAGGCAGCAGUGGGGAAUAUUGCACAAUGGGCGGAAGCCUGAUGCAGCAACGCCGCGUGCGGGAUGACGGCCUUCGGGUUGUAAACCGCUUUCGCCUGUGACGAAGCGUGAGUGACGGUAAUGGGUAAAGAAGCACCGGCUAACUACGUG
rnacentral:rRNA from 1 species